UUGGAGGGCAAGUCUGGUGCCAGCAGCCGCGGUAAUUCCAGCUCCAAUAGCGUAUAUUAAAGUUGUUGCAGUUAAAAAGCUCGUAGUUGAAUUUCGGGAUCAAUUUAUUGGUCGUGCCAACGGUACGCACUGGUACAAUUGGUUUCUCCCUUCUGACGAAGCAUGAUGUCAUUAAUUUGAUGUCGUGGGGAAUCAGGACUGUUACUUUGAAAAAAUUAGAGUGUUUAAAGCAGGCUUUGGCUUGAAUACAUUAGCAUGGAAUAAUGAAAUAGGACGUUUGAUCUUAUUUCGUUGGUUUCUAAGAUCGACGUAAUGAUUAAUAGGGAUAGUUGGGGGCAUUAGUAUUCAAUUGUCAGAGGUGAAAUUCUUGGAUUUAUUGAAGACUAACUACUGCGAAAGCAUUUGCCAAGGAUGUUUUCAUUAAUCAAGAACGAAAGUUAGGGGAUCGAAGACGAUCAGAUACCGUCGUAGUCUUAACCAUAAACUAAGCCGACUAGGGAUCGGAUGAUGUUAAUUUUUUAAUGACUCAUUCGGCGCCUUACGGGAAAC
rnacentral:rRNA from 1 species